rnacentral:rRNA from 1 species
UACGGGGGGUGCGAGCGUUAAUCGGAAUUACUGGGCGUAAAGCGUGCGCAGGCGGUUUGUUAAGUCCGUUGUGAAAGCCCCGAGCUCAACUUGGGAAUUGCAGUGGAUACUGGCAGGCUGGAGUACGGUAGAGGAAGGUGGAAUUCCCGGUGUAGCAGUGAAGUGCGUAGAGAUCGGGAGGAACACCAGUGGCGAAGGCGGCCUUCUGGACCAGUACUGACGCUCAUGCACGAAAGCGUGGGGAGCAAACAGG